rnacentral:rRNA from 3 species
CCCUCAGCAAAAACACAAGUAUUGAGGGUAAUGCCUGCCCAGUGACAUUGUUAAACGGCCGCGGUAUACUAACCGUGCAAAGGUAGCGUAAUCACUUGUCUUUUAAAUAAAGACUAGAAUGAAUGGCCAAACGAGGCUCUACCUGUCUCUUACAAAUAAUCAGUGAAAUUGAUCUUCCCGUGCAAAAGCAGGAAUAACAUUAUAAGACGAGAAGACCCUGUGGAACUUCAAAUAUAAAAUCAACUGUCACCAACCCCCACCCAACAGGACUAUACCAAACAGAACUUGAUUUUUACUUUCGGUUGGGGCGACCUCGGAGUAAAAUAAAACCUCCGAAAAAUAAAGAAAUCCUUUUAACCUAGAAUAACAACUCAAAGUGCUUCCAGCAAAACGACCCAAUAUAUUUGAUCAACGAACCAAGCUACCCCAGGGAUAACAGCGCAAUCCCAUUUUAGAGUCCAUAUCGACAAUGGGGUUUACGACCUCGAUGUUGGAUCAGGACAUCCUAAUGGUGCAGCCGCUAUUAAGGGUUCGUUUGUUCAACGAUU